AUGUUUGUAAUUUCCUGUGUAUCUGUCGUUAUUUCAAAAUUAAAAUGUUGGGGUUUUUUAAAGGCAUAAAAACAGCACUGAUUUCACAAGUUUUUAGAGGGAAUUUAGGGAGCUAAGUCAAUGUUGAGUGCUUACCGCCAAGCCUGGCAUCCAUGUGUGCUUAAUAAAUAGGAUUUAUUUGUGAUCUAUCACUCUAUUUGUUUAAACCCCCAGCAGCUCCUUUUCUCAUUAGGAGUGUCCAGAGAAUCAGAAUGGUGUUUGUUGAAAGGGUGUCUGUCGAGCUUGGCAAAAGCAAAACUUUUCUUUUGUGAUGGUUCAUUUAUUCUCAAGGUUAAUUGUUGCUAAUUGCACUAUUACAUUGCCAACAGGAGUGUCAACACCAGCCCAAUUAGACGUGCUGAUUGCUGAUUGGCUCUGGCAAGGAAUUCAAAUCUCCUCUGUGCCUUUGCAAAGCAACAUCCAUCUUGAACAUAAAUGAGGUUCUGGCUUGAUUUCUGGGCUUGGGCAUCAGACAUCUCCCUUUUGCGGACACCUACAGCUCUGUUCUUGAAUUUUGUGAUUGCGGAUAAGCACCCGCUCCUUCUUUUUAAGUCCUUUGGCAGAUAGUCAUUCAUGCUUACAGGAUGACCCAGGCAAAGCUAAACACAGAUCUGGGCUCCAAUCCCACCAUGGCUGUGUGACCUAGUGGAAGUUCCUUAACCUCUCUGAGCCUCAGCUUUCUUUUCCACAGAUUGCUGAUUAAAACACUUACUUUAGUGUUAACACAAGGGAAAGCUGGGCGUGGAGGUCUAUGAGAAUUCUCUAUACUAUUUUUGCAACUCUUUUGUGAAUAUGAAAUAAUCUAAACUAGAAGAUUUAAAAAAAAAAACAAACCCAAACACGUGCUUCCUAGGCUUUCUGAGGACUGGAGAUGGCAAAUGUGCGGUGCCCGGCAUGGAAUAGGUGUUCAUCAGCUUUGACACAGUGGAGGGACACGGCCCAACCAUCACGCCAGCCUGUACUCUUUCUCUUUCUUUUCCCUGCUGCAGCCUGUGCCACAGAUUAGGAAAACACAUUGAAGCAAUGCUGAAGGGGCAAUAGGAGUGGAAGGAGGUUAUCGAGUAUGAAACAGUACCCUUGAUACAGUGGGGAGAGGAGUGUUUCUCCACUUGGAAUUAUAAUCACAACCUUAAACACAAGUUUCGACCGCCAACUGACUGCUGCCUCCCUCUCUCACCAAGGGCUGGAGGCCACUGCAGAGCAAGACAAGGUGGGUCUGGCACAAGAUCCAUCCUAAAUCCAGCGAGAACAAAGAAGGCUCAGCAUCCUCCCCUGUGGCUGAUCCUGCUAUAAUGCUCCCUGGCAAGCUCAAUGCUUUGUGUCAUUCUGGAGCUCGGGGAAAGGUGAAAAAUACCAUGCAUCCAUGUUAGCUAUUAAAGCACGAGGAGUCCCUGAGUGUAUUUACAGGGGGGAGUUGGCGAGGGAAAGGCAAUUCCAUUAAACAAAGGGCAGGACACAGAGGAAGUUUGGAAGGAGGGUCGAUGGCUGAAAUGCUUCAUCCAAAUACAAUUCCGUCUCCCACCUGGAGGCUGCAGAAAAGCUGUGUCCAGCAAGAGAUUUACAACCCCAAGCAUUGCCUCCACUGGGUAAUAAACUGUGCUCUCUAAUCAAUAUCAGCGCUGGGCUGUCUGUCUGCAGCAUAGAUUCCCAUUUAGCAAAGCCACUGAGUAAUGGAAAACGCAAUCGAGUUGCAUAAUGAGUCUGGGUAAUUGGAUGGACUGGGCAGAAUGGUCCAGCUAAGUAUAUUCAGUCCGGCACAUUAAUUAAAAACUUGACACUUCAAGCGCCACCCAAAGUGCCCCAUUAAUUAUUCUGUGAAUCCAAAGGUCAGAUGUAGUGGAUGAGUUACAAGACGAUGAUAAAAUUGCUUGGCUCCGGGGCCAUCACAAGAGCAUGCAUUGCACCGAGGCCUGGACUCACCUGUAGCUUCAGUGGGAGUUGAACAGGCAGCCCUCUUCGCACUGGUGCCCUGCCAGUGCCGGAUCCAAGAGGAAGGACUGAGGCUGCCCAAGGUGCUGACACCAGCGCGGCCCUGCUUGUGAGUGAGCUCGCCCAUCUCCGCUUUCAUCUCAGAGAUCUGCAGGCACAGACAGGUAAAGGAAUUUGCCCACAGUCAGAAAUCAGCAGAUGAGAAUUCAAACCCAGACCGUGAAGAAUCAGAGCCACAGCAAGGUUAUUACAUGCAAGGAGAAACAAAUUUUGUGCUUAAAGUAAAAAGCAGAGUGGCAUUUCUUCUGUAAUGUAAGCAGCUGUGUGACUUUGGGCAAGUUGCUUCACCUCUGUAGGCCUCUGUUUGCCUGUCUGUAAUAAACAGAUCCCCCAUCUCUGGGACUUCAAAAGAGGAGAGGACGGUCAGCAGGGGUGGCCUGCUCAGAAGGGCCAUACUUCAUCCCCAAUGUCCCUCAACAACUCCAAGGGCAAUGCCACCCCAGACCUCACUGCCAGGCCUUCCAGAGUCCAACAAACUCGUGUCCCAUGACCACAGCUUGUUCCCUUGAUCUAUGUGCACCUGGGGAUGCUGGUGGCUGGGAGGUGAGUUCAUGAGGCCUCAGAUCCGCCCUUGAAGUCAGUACUGUCAUUCACCCAUUCUUCAGACGAGGACACAGAGGCCUGGGAAGAGUCAGCAAGGACAGAAGCUGGGUUCACAGCCCCUCAGGCCAGCUCCAGAGGCCUCAAUCUUCACCAGCAAUGUGCCUCUGGGCUUGAGAAGAUUGGACAGGAAGAACACAGGAAGCUCCAAGAAAAAAGAACUGAAACUGCACCAAGAGUCAAUGAUCUGCUGCCUCCUCAGACGUGCAGCAAUCUGACAACAUCCAUCAAAAUUAAAAGCGCGUGCACCCUUGACUUCACAAUGGCCUUCUAGGAAUUUACCCUCCCAACGCACUAGUGCACGUGUCUAAGAUACAAGGUUCUGCCGUAGCAGAACUGCUUACGGCAAUGAGUUUAUGGCCGCCCACACCCCCAGCCUCAAGUGAGGAGGCUCCAACUCCACAGCAGGUUGGCAGGGGCUGAGCUGUGCCCCUCCACUCAAUGGAAAUAUUUCCUGGACCAAAACGGAACUGCACCAGGGACCAAGACAGACAGGACCUCCUCCACCCCGUGGAAGGUAACAUGGAGAGAGGUCCCAGUGGAUCCACCAGAGAAAAGGAAUGUCCAUCUUAUCUUUCACCUAGAGUGGGAUCCAGUGCAAACCAGCACACACAGGAGGAUCCACUGUAGUUGCUGGAAUGUAAGAUGGACAUACCGUGUGUGUAUGUAUGGGAAACUUCUGGAAAAUGCAAUGUUGGGAUGAAGGAGGUAGGAGGCUUUUUCUUCCUAUUCUUAUGUCCUUCAGUCAUGGUUCAUUUGGUUUUGCACUCUCAUGAGCAUAUAUUAUUUUAUACUUAAAAAAAAGGGAUUGCAUUUCAAAACUUCCAUGACCAGCUCUGAAGUCAGUGGAUCAGAGGGAAUUCCCUGCUCACUCCUGGAACAGACCCCCUGCCCGACCUCCCUGGGCUCUGAGGGAACCACACCAGGACCAAGUUCAGAAGCUGACAGAUGCCAGUCAGUGAGCCCCAAGUCCGUGCUCUGAGCCUAGCUAGCACUCAAGCUUAGGACAGCAUAACUAUUUAUUUAACUGAUGGCUGCUGUCUUCAUUCAAAUGAUGCUUGCCGUGUUAGAAAUGAAUGCCCAUUGACUCUGUCACUGUGACAAAGUGCACCUGUGUUUAUCCCUCUGCUGCCAAGUCUGCAUGUUCAAUAUUUUGUCCAUCAAUUUUUAACUUUUUUAAAAAAUGGGACUUUGGUGAGGGAAUGAAGAGGCCAUCACUUUCCCAGGCAGAUAGCCUUUCUGCCUCCAUCCUCUCCUGGGGUUCUGCUUGAAGCCUGGUAGAGUCACAUCCCCAUGGGCCUUGACACUCAGAGGCCAUGCUCUCCCAAAGCUCUGGCUUUCUAACAGCCAGGGGACACUCCUGCUUGGGCUGAGACUUGUGCAGCUCUAGUAGGAAUGUCCCUCUGUGCUUAGAAAACACCCAAAGCUUGCCACGGCAUCCAGGCUGCCUACUGCACCCCUCACUCAGCCUUCUUGGGCCACCAGGUGCCCAUUCCAUGCCAAGCUUUGUCUCCUCAACAAAGUUGCUCUGCUUGAGCCAGUGAAUUCUGUCUCCAGGAGGCUGUGUCAUGGCUUUGUCUUCUACAAGCUCAUGCCCUGGAGGGAAGGACAGAGUGACUCUGACAUGUCAGCCCAUUCAGUCAUUCAUUCCUCAACUCUAAUAAAUUUCCUGCUGAGUGUCAGGUACUGGACUGGAUUUGGGGAAUCUGGUGAUGAACACAUCAGAUGGGGCCGGGCGCAGUGGCUCACACCUGUAAUCCCAGCACUUUGGGAGGCCGAGGCAGGAAGAUCACUUGAAGCCAGAGUUCAGGACCAGCCUGGCCAACAUGCUGAAACCCCGUCUCCACUAAACAUAAAAAAAUUAGCCAAGUGUGGUGGCGCAUGCCUGUAAUCCCAGCUACUCGGGAGGCUGAGGCAGGAGAACCGCUUGAACCCAGGAGGCAGAGGUGGCAGUGAGCCGAGAUCACACCACUGCACUCCAGCCUGGGCCUGUCUCCAAAAAAAAAAAAACAGAAAAAAAACACCACACACACACACUCUCCCCACAGGGCUCAGCUCAGUGAAGGAGCAGUGGGAAGGAGAAGGGUUUCCCUAGUGCAACCAGAGCUCCUGGUGAACACCCUUGCCCUGCCUCCCGCCCCACCUCCACUGCAGUGCCAGAAGCAAAAUGGUGCCCAGCACAGGCAAACAGCCAGGGCCAGAUGGAAGAGAGGGCUGCCAAGGAGCUGCAGACGUUGAGCAGCUUCCUGGGGCUGCAGUAUAGGAUCCCGGGCUGCACUGACACCACUGCAGGUGGUGUUUCCUGUCCUGUUUCCAGCACUGCCACACUGCCAGUGCUUACUGGCACUCCCUUGGGGACACGUUCCUUGACUCCAGUUCUCCAGGACCUUGUUUGCCCUUAACUUCUCAGGGCCUCUACUUCCUUAUUUGAAUACUGGGAUGGAAACAGCUGCCAUUUUGAGUGUCACUGCAUGCCUGGCUGUCUGCUAAGCCCUCUCUGUGCCUUGCCCCUGUGGGGCACCCCAGCAACCUGCAUGAUGGGCUACGCCUUUGCCCCCACAACACAAUGAAGAAACGAUAUCCUGAUCCCUCCACCAGGAUGGGAUGAGGACUGACUGAGAUGGUGUGUGAGAAAGCCUGGGCUUGCCUUGGGAAGGCCCAGUGACAGCUUCCUUCCUUCCUUCUGAAGGAUCUGCUGGAGGGCACAUGCCCGCCCACAUCUGGUUAGCGUGAAAUACACCAUCGAUGACCUGACCCUGCAGCUCCCACCACGUCUGGGAUGUGGCCUUGGAGGAGUGCCCAGAGGGCUCCCCUCUAGAAUUCUAGCACUGUGCCAUAAGUAACCCCAGAUGCAGGUCCCCUGGAUCUUCACAGAGCAACUCCAAGCCCACCCCCAGGACACCACGUGGCAGCCACAGGGGCCAACCUCCACCCUCUGGAGGAAACCCCCUGGUAUUUCUUCAUGGCCUUUAGUUCCUUAGAAUGUGAGCCCUGGUUCCUAUGAGCAGGAGGAAACGGAGAGAGAAGAGACAGGACAGGACAGAGGGGAGAGAGAGGAGAGAGGGGAGAGAGAGA
rnacentral:lncRNA from 10 species